GACGAACGCUGGCGGCGUGCUUAACACAUGCAAGUCGAACGGUAAGGCCCUUCGGGGUACACGAGUGGCGAACGGGUGAGUAACAGGUGGGCGAUCUGCCCUGCACUUCGGGAUAAGCCUGGGAAACUGGGGCUAAUACCGGAUAGGACCGCUGGCUGCAUGGGCGGUGGUGGAAAGCUUUUGCGGUGUGGGAUGGGACUGCGGCCUAUCAGCUUGUUGGUGGGGUGAGGGCCUACCAAGGCGACGACGGGUAGCCGGCCUGAGAGGGUGACCGGCCACACUGGGCCUGAGAUACGGCCCAGACUCCUACGGGAGGCAGCAGUGGGGAAUAUUGCACAAUGGGCGCAAGCCUGAUGCAGCGACGCCGCGUGAGGGAUGACGGCCUUCGGGUUGUAAACCUCUUUCAGCACCGACGAAGCGCAAGUGACGGUAGGUGCAGAAGAAGGACCGGCCAACUACGUGCCAGCCGCCGCAGUAA
rnacentral:rRNA from 1 species